AGCGAACGUUAGCGGCGGGCUUAACACAUGCAAGUCGAACGCGAAAGGGAUUCGUCCCCGGUAGCGUGGCGUCCGGGUGAGUAACACGUAGGAAAUUUUCCCUAAAGUGGGGGAUAACGUCCCGAAAGGGUCGCUAAUACCGCAUAAGCUCACGGAAACUCCGGUUUCUGUGGGAAAAGGUGGCCUCUGUAUACAAGCUAUCGCUUUAGAAUAAUCCUGCGGCGCAUCAGCUAGUUGGUGAGGUAAUGGCUCACCAAGGCUAAGACGCGUAGCUGGUCUGAGAGGAUGAUCAGCCACAUUGGCACUGAAACACGGGCCAAACUCCUACGGGAGGCAGCAGUGGGGAAUAUUGGACAAUGGGCGCAAGCCUGAUCCAGCCACGCCGCGUGAGUGAUGAAGGCCUC
rnacentral:rRNA from 1 species